GUGAAAUGGAGCAGUGGUUAGCACGUAGGCCUGCAGUGCCAAAAGAUGAAGGAUCAAAUUC
rnacentral:tRNA from 1 species